AUUGAACGCUGGCGGCAGGCCUAACACAUGCAAGUCGAACGAGUGGCGGACGGGUGAGUAAUGUCUGGGAAACUGCCUGAUGGAGGGGGAUAACUACUGGAAACGGUCGCUAAUACCGCAUACCAUCAGAUGUGCCCAGAUGGGAUUAGCUUGUUGGGGGGGUAACGGCUCACCAAGUCGACGAUCCCUAGCUGUGCUGAGAGGAUGACCAGCCAAGCGGGAAGUGCGACACGGUCCAGACGCCUACGGGAGGCAGCAGUGGGUAAUAUGGCACAAUGGGCGCAAGCCUGAUGCAGCCAUGCCGUGUGUAUGAAGAAGGCCUUCGGGUUGUAAAGUACUUUCAGCGGGGAGGCGUUACCCGCAGAAGAAGCACCGGCUAACUCCGGGCCAGCAGCCGCGGUAAUAC
rnacentral:rRNA from 1 species